rnacentral:rRNA from 1 species
GACGGAGGAUGCAAGCGUUAUCCGGAAUGAUUGGGCGUAAAGCGUCCGCAGGUGGCAGUUCAAGUCUGCUGUCAAAGACCGGGGCUUAACUUCGGAAAGGCAGUGGAAACUGAACAGCUAGAGUAUGGUAGGGGCAGAGGGAAUUCCUGGUGUAGCGGUGAAAUGCGCAGAUAUCAGGAGGAACACCGGUGGCGAAGGCGGUGGUCUGGGCCGGCACUGACGCUGAGGAGCGAAAGCGUGGGGAGCAAACAGG